rnacentral:rRNA from 1 species
UACGAAGGGGGCUAGCGUUGUUCGGAUUUACUGGGCGUAAAGCGCACGUAGGCGGAUUGUUAAGUCAGGGGUGAAAUCCUGGAGCUCAACUCCAGAACUGCCUUUGAUACUGGCAAUCUAGAGUCCGGAAGAGGUGAGUGGAACUCCUAGUGUAGAGGUGGAAUUCGUAGAUAUUAGGAAGAACACCAGUGGCGAAGGCGGCUCACUGGUCCGGUACUGACGCUGAGGCGCGAAAGCGUGGGGAGCAAACAGGG